AAAUUGAAGAGUUUGAUCAUGGCUCAGAUUGAACGCUGGCGGCAGGCCUAACACAUGCAAGUCGAGCGGUAGCACAGAGAGCUUGCUCUCGGGUGACGAGCGGCGGACGGGUGAGUAAUGUCUGGGAAACUGCCUGAUGGAGGGGGAUAACUACUGGAAACGGUAGCUAAUACCGCAUAACGUCGCAAGACCAAAGUGGGGGACCUUAGGGCCUCAUGCCAUCAGAUGUGCCCAGAUGGGAUUAGCUAGUAGGUGGGGUAACGGCUCACCUAGGCGACGAUCCCUAGCUGGUCUGAGAGGAUGACCAGCCACACUGGAACUGAGACACGGUCCAGACUCCUACGGGAGGCAGCAGUGGGGAAUAUUGCACAAUGGGCGCAAGCCUGAUGCAGCCAUGCCGCGUGUGUGAAGAAGGCCUUCGGGUUGUAAAGCACUUUCAGCGGGGAGGAAGGCGGU
rnacentral:rRNA from 1 species